GCUACUGUAAUGCGGGUUGUAGUUGAUAAAGACAAAGCCGCGCGCCUGAUCAAUGCAGUGAAACAGUGGGUUCCAGUCGAACAGGGCCAGCAUGAAACUGGGCAGGGUAUUGGCCAGGAACAUCUUGCCCGAGGCAAUCAUAUUGGCCCGCUG
rfam:Roseobacter sp. MedPE-SWchi Roseobacter-sp-MedPE-SWchi-C6, whole genome shotgun sequence.